rnacentral:tRNA from 1 species
UACAAAGUAAACUAAUAAAGUUGUGGGGUUCAUACCCCCAAAAAUGCUGGAGUACGGUCUUUGUAG